rnacentral:rRNA from 1 species
UACGGAGGGUGCAAGCGUUGUCCGGAAUCACUGGGCGUAAAGGGCGCGUAGGCGGCUCGGUAAGUCGGGGGUGAAAUCCUGCGGCUUAACCGCAGGGCUGCCUUCUAAACUGGCGAGCUUGAGCACGGUAGAGGCAGAUGGAAUUCCCGGUGUAGCGGUGGAAUGCGUAGAGAUCGGGAAGAACAUCAGUGGCGAAGGCGGUCUGCUGGGCCGUUGCUGACGCUGAGGCGCGACAGCGUGGGGAGCAAACAGG